GGGCCCGUAGCCCAGCCUGGAUUAGGGCGUCGGUCUUCGGAACCGGAAGUCGUGGGUUCGAAUCCCUCCGGGCCCG
rnacentral:tRNA from 1 species